UACGGAGGGUGCAAGCGUUAAUCGGAAUUACUGGGCGUAAAGCGCACGCAGGUGGCUGAGUCAGUCGAUUGUGAAAGCCCUGGGCUCAACCUGGGAAUUGCAGUGGAUACUGGCGAGCUAGAGUGCGGUAGAGGAUGGUGGAAUUCCCGGUGUAGCGGUGAAAUGCGUAGAGAUCGGGAGGAACACCCGUGGCGAAGGCGGCCAUCUGGACCAGCACUGACGCUGAGAAGCGAAAGCGUGGGUAGCGAACAGG
rnacentral:rRNA from 1 species